GACAGAUGAAGGAAAUGAAGCACAGAGAUGCUAAGGGAUAAAAGAAGACAGAAAUAUUUAAUGACAAUAGUUAGAUGAGCUCUCAUUUCUCUUGAUGAUAUGUUUGGAUGCUAAUAGAUAAACAGACUUCAAUGGCUUAUAAAAGGUUUAAUUGAACUGUGAUCAACUGAACUAUAAGUAAGGGAGCCCCAGAAAAAGGAGCAGAACUCCAUUGGUAGACUCCAAUGCAGCCAAGCAUUCUCAUCUUCAACCAAAUCAGCCAUCUCCAUGUGCCAAGCUGGGUAUCAAUGUUUUAGAGUAUCAUUGCAGGACUCUCUGGUCAAGGACAUCUCUAAAUUCAAUUUGCUGGAAUCUAUCUUUGGACAGGAAAAAUCCCUAGAAAAAAAAAUAGAUGAGAGUUGAUGAUACUACACUGCAA